rnacentral:misc_RNA from 1 species
UCCUCCCUCAAACCCCGGGUUUGGUGUUGGACUCAAGUUGUGUGAACAACUGGUCUCAAAGACAAUGACGGCGUCCGUGGGACCCUCGGUGCAACGAGCUUUUAGGAGCACGCAUCGAGUUGCAAGGACCUUCCGGGCCGGUCUCCUUUACCAUUUUACAAGG